rnacentral:rRNA from 1 species
AACGAACGCUGGCGGCGCGUCUUAAACAUGCAAGUCGAACGGCAGGAAGGGGCUUGCCCCUUCUGAGAGUGGCGGACUGGUGAGUAACACGUGGGUGACAUACCUUUUAGUUGGGGAUAGCUAUUAGAAAUAGUAGGUAAUACCGAAUGUGACCGUACCUGUUAGAGGGGUACGAGGAAAGGAGCUAAGGCUUCGCUAAAAGAAUGGCUCGCGGCCCAUUAUGCUCGUUGGUGAGGUAACGGCCCACCAAGGCGAUGAUGGGUAUCCGGCCUGAGAGGGUGAACGGACACAUUGGGACUGAGAUACGGCCCAGACUUCUACGGGAGGCAGCAGUUAAGAAUAUUCCGCAAUGGACGAAAGUCUGACGGAGCGACGCCGCGUGGAUGAACAAUGCCGAAAGGUUGUAAAAUCCUUUUAAGCCUGAUGAAUAAGCACAGUAGGGAAUGAUUGUGCGGUGACCGUAGGGCUUGAAUAAGCACCGGCUAAUUACGUG